rnacentral:rRNA from 1 species
GACGAACGCUGGCGGCGUGCUUAACACAUGCAAGUCGAACGGAAAGGCCCUGCUUUUGUGGGGUGCUCGAGUGGCGAACGGGUGAGUAACACGUGAGUAACCUGCCCUUGACUUUGGGAUAACUUCAGGAAACUGGGGCUAAUACCGGAUAGGAGCUCCUGCUGCAUGGUGGGGGUUGGAAAGUUUCGGCGGUUGGGGAUGGACUCGCGGCUUAUCAGCUUGUUGGUGGGGUAGUGGCUUACCAAGGCUUUGACGGGUAGCCGGCCUGAGAGGGUGACCGGCCACAUUGGGACUGAGAUACGGCCCAGACGCCUACGGGAGGCAGCAGUCGGGAAUAUUGCACAAUGGGCGGAAGCCUGAUGCAGCAACGCCGCGUGCGGGAUGACGGCCUUCGGGUUGUAAACCGCUUUCGCCUGUGACGAAGCGUGAGUGACGGUAAUGGGUAAAGAAGCACCGGCUAACUACGUG